AUACUUACUUGGCGGGGGACAUACCGUGAUCACCAAGGUGGUUUUUCCUAGAGUGAGGCUUAUACAUUGCAUUUCAGGUGCGCCGACCCCUGUGAUUUUUCCAAAUGUGGGAAAAUUGACUGCAUAAUUUGUGGUAGUAGGAGACCAUGUUCACCCUCUCCCA